CUUACGGGAGGCAGCAGUGAGGAAUAUUGGUCAAUGGGCGGAAGCCUGAACCAGCCAAGUAGCGUGCAGGAAGACGGCCCUCCGGGUUGUAAACUGCUUUUAGUUGGGAAUAAAACGGGGCUCGUGAGCCCCCUUGCAUGUACCAUCAGAAAAAGGACCGGUUAAUUCCGUGCCAGCAGCCGCGGUAAUACGGAAGGUCCGGGCGUUAUCUGGAUUUAUUGGGUUUAAAGGGAGCGCAGGCGGACCUUUAAGUCAGCUGUGAAAUACGGCGGCUCAACCGUCGAACUGCAGUUGAUACUGGAGGUCUUGAGUGCACACAGGGAUGGUGGAAUUCAUGGUGUAGCGGUGAAAUGCUCAGAUAUCAUGAAGAACUCCGAUCGCGAAGGCAGGCAUCCGGGGUGCAACUGACGCUGAGGCUGGAAAGUGCGGGUAUCAAACAGGAUUAGAUACCCUGGUAGUCCGCACAGUAAACGAUGAAUACUCGCGGUUUGCGAUAUAGUGUAAGCCGCCAAGCGAAAGCGUUAAGUAUUCCACCUGGGGAGUACGCCGGCAACGGUGCAACUCAAAUGAAUUGACGG
rnacentral:rRNA from 1 species